AUGGAGUCACAGAUCCAGGUCCUCAUGUCCCUGAUCCUCUGGGUGUCUGGUGCCUGUGCAGACAUCGUGAUGACCCAGUCUCCAUCCUCCCUGGCUGUGUCAAUAGGAGAGAAGGUCACCAUCAGCUGCAGGUCAAGUGACAGUCUUUAUUUAAGCUCCAAUCAGAAGAACCGCUUGGUCUGGUACCAGCAGAAACCAGGGCAGGUUCCUAAACUGGUAAUCUACAUUGCAUCCACUCAAGAUACUGGGGUCCCUGAUCGUUUCAUAGGCAGUGGAUCUGAGACAGAUUUCACUCUCACCAUCAGCAGUGUCCAGGCUGAAGACCUGACAGUUUAUUACUAUAAGCAGUUUCACAAUUAUCCUCUCACAGUGCUUCAGCCUCCAACAAAAACCUCUUCUGAGAGUCUCGCCAGCUCCCCACACCACCCACAGCCCUGGACCUGCACACUUCCUCCUUCUGCCUGA